rnacentral:misc_RNA from 1 species
ACUCAAUCGUAUCAGUUCUGCUGCACUCUCAUCGAUUCCCCCCACUUUCGUCUGAAACUCGACUUCUCAAGCAGCACAGGCCUAUUUCCUGCAGACCCUUUUGGCUCACCAAACAGAGUUUCUCAGUUUUUUCCAAAAUGGAUUGUGUGGGAGCCAGCUCUCCUAAAGAAUUUCCUUUGGGUUUGGAUGCAAGUUUAGAGGAAGAAUACUUUUCUCAAUCUAGUUUGCUCCAAGAUUUCACUAGUAUCCCCAACAUUGACAAGGCAUGGACUUUCACAUCUGACGGUGGUUCCCAAGGUAUGUUCUCGAUAAGCCAACCAAAUCUCCUAGCCAACAAGAAGAGGAGAUACAUAUUACCUUGUCAUAUUUCAAAAGAAAGCACAAAUGCUGUAAGCUUUCAAUGGGCUGCAUUCCCUAUUGAGAUGUCCAAUGUGUCUAUGAUGAUUCCAUCACCUUCAGGUUCAAAGCUUCUUGUAGUUAGAAAUCCUGAAAAUGAUUCUCCGACCAAGUUUGAAAUUUGGGGUUCAUCUUUGGUGGAAAAGGAGUUUUAUGUUCCUGCUUCUGUCCACGGCUCUGUAUAUUCAGAUGGAUGGUUUGAGGGAAUAUCAUGGAACAGUGAUGAAACUCUUAUUGCUUAUGUUGCUGAGGAGCCGGCUCCCUCGAAGCCCACAUUUACUACUUUUGGUUAUAAGAAAGAUAAUUCUACAGAUAAGGAAUGUGGGAGCUGGAAAGGUCAAGGGGACUGGGAAGAGGAGUGGGGGGAAACCUAUGCUGGAAAAAGACAACCUGCUCUUUUCAUCAUUGACGUCAACAGUGGAGUAGUACGUCCUGUUGAAGGAAUCGGGAAGUCACUGAGUGUUGGACAAGUUGUAUGGG